AGAACUGUGGGCAAGCUACGCUGAGCUAUCGUCCUGCCCUCGGCGCGGCGGCCCGAGUGGACCUAGCCCUGGUUUCUGUCCUCCACAGCGGCCAACCUCGCUGCCUUUCUGACUCCUCCGGCGUUGGGGAUCGCAUAGGGCGGGACACGGGUGACCGAAAGUGGGAGCCAUGAGCAUCUGAGGCACAGAUGCUGGAGGCGUUGGCUGGACCACCGUAGCGCACGCAUGGCGAGCGCUGGGCGUCGAGCUGCGUACCUACAGCUAACCUGGGCACCCGGGCUCUGUGGGGCGGGAUCUUUGCAGAACCCACCGCUCUCCAGGGGCAUGGGAUCAUUGACUCUAGAUCAGGACAUCGCUGCCGAGACGCUGUCGCACGGCACCUGGGCCUGCCCUACUGGCCCGUGAAUCCCUGGAGCCCCCGAGAGACUUGGUAACUGGCGCGAGCGGACGAAUGCGCACGCGCGGGGCCGCCGUUGACACGUGGCAGGGCAAAGGCGUCUCUGCGCGCGCGAAGCGCUGUAGUCUAAGACUACGGCCCAAGUGACCCUUCUUCCCUCCGAGUGUGAUAAAGGCUGCUGCCGUGUUGGGAUUCGCCUUGCCGCUCCCACUUUCCUCCCCAUUACACAGAGCAGCCAGGGAGGGGCCAGCGCGCAUGGGUCAUCUUGGAACAGACCGGACCUACCUAGAGUCCCUGCCCUCUGUCAGCUUAUUGGCCUCUCCCUGCAGCUGGUGUCAGUGGCAGCAUGGUCUUCUGUUUGGAAAACGAGAUGCCACACCGCCUGCUGGGAAGCGCCAUGGUCCACUUCCAUGCCUCAGAAGUCCAGCAGCUGCUACACAACAAGUUCGUGGUCAUUUUGGGGGACUCCAGUGAGUGACCACUCUAGGAUGACAUUUCACCGCCCUGUAUCUUCAACCUUUUCUUUGUCUGCACGCCACAUCUCCAUUUCAGACUUCUCCAUCUCUUACUCUGUUUCAGGACACUAGACUGCAUUUUUUUCUUUUUUAAAUUCCCUAUGUACCUUCCCUGGGUGCCCCGGCAUAUCAUUUGUGCACUAUUUUUUAGCCCAUGAGUGUGGCAUCUUUAUUUGUUGUUGCCCUUCAUGAUUUUCUUAAAAGG
rnacentral:lncRNA from 1 species